rnacentral:misc_RNA from 1 species
GAUGAAGAACGCAGCGAAAUGCGAUAAGUAAUGUGAAUUGCAGAAUUCAGUGAAUCAUCGAAUCUUUGAACGCACAUUGCGCCCGCCAGUAUUCUGGCGGGCAUGCCUGUUCGAGCGUCAUUACAACCCUCAGGCCCCCGGGCCUGGCGUUGGGGAUCGGCGGAAGCCCCCUGCGGGCACAACGCCGUCCCCCAAAUACAGUGGCGGUCCCGCCGCAGCUUCCAUUGCGUAGUAGCUAACACCUCGCAACUGGAGAGCGGCGCGGCCACGCCGUAAAACACCCAACUUCUGAAUGUUGACCUCAAAUCAGGUAGGAAUACCCGCUGAACUUAAGCAUAUCAAUAAGCGGAGGA